rnacentral:lncRNA from 1 species
ACUCAGUUUAGUUUAUGAAAUGCAAACAUCGUUAUAGAAGUGCCUAAAUGCCACCUUUAAGGGAUAUCAGGAUUCUAUUUGCAGUCUGGGCGAGUCUCUUGAACUGUAACUAAGUCACCUCUGUGACUGUUUUAAUGUGUUUUUGUAAAGCCUGGCAACAUUAUAUAAAUAAAACGUCUUCUGAUUUUCAUCUCUGCUCAGCUGCGUUGCAGAGGGGUAAUCGGACCCCACUGCAAGCGCUAUGGAAAACCACAGCUUAGCUGACAAAUUAGUGGUAUUUGGUGCUAAUAUUACUAAUUCAACAUUUGGAAGGGUUGCUCACUGGGGAAAAAUAACAUGUUCUGUAAGUCACAGGAGAAACUAGGGAGAUAGUUAAUGGGUGUGGACUCGGCUGCACAUGUUGUUCACAGGACUCUUGGAACGACUGCUGACUUCCUGCCAAUAGACGUGGAAGCAAUUGUCAACAAGAUUUAUUGUUACUUUCACAUUUACACAGUGAGAGGAAAGGUUGAAAGCGUUCUGUGAAGUUCAGUACUGACUUCCACUGAGCCAUGGCAACGCUCCCUGAUUAUCGCUAAUGUGUGCUACAGAAAGAAUUUUGCAUCAUUUGAGGCCUCCGAGUCAUUCUUGUUGUCAGGAGCAAAUUCCUCCACCAUCCUCGGUAAUUUCUCCAAAGAUUAUGGAGAUGGUAUGCCCCAGGCACUACAAUGUGUAUGGUGGAAAGGACUUUUGCAUAAAUUAUCACUGCCUUCAGUUUUGAGUUAGUGCUGCAAACUAGAGCAUUCUAGCACUUUACAUCUCUGGGCUAUAAUGAGCCGUAGCUUUGGAUAUGUGAAAAGUGGGAGUUGGACAAAAUCUUCCAGUUUCAAAAUAUUGAAUUAUGAUUUGAACUAAAGGAGAGGCACAGUUAAUAACUGCAGCUCCGAGGACUAACUACUUCUGCAGAUCGGUUGCAAGAGGUUAUCCUCCACCUAACAGGAAGUACUAUGGAAGUGCUUGCAGAUGACUGUGUAAAGGAUGUUUGAGAAGAAAAAAAGUGACUCACAGUGUCUCUGACUGCUGGCUAUGUGGAGAGAAUGGGGAAUAUCUGAAUCAAUUGGCUAACCUUGGCAGUGCUCUGCUGUGAAGAGGUCUUUUGGAGAGCAUGUUUUGGAUUAAGGAAGAAGGAAGGAGAGGAUCCUGUGGAAAAGAAAGCUGAGUGAGGAUAAGAGAAGCAGAGUGCAAAAUGUGUAACUGUGCAUGUGCAUACGUGCCCACAUAUGUUCUCAUGCAAGCUUCCAUGUGAUUGUGCACACAUGUGCAUUUCCACAUUCCCCUCAAGAGCUAACGUGAUUUGACUCAUCUCUGGCUCCUUUCCUUUCUCGAUAUUGCUUGACCAUAUUUUGAAUACUUUGACAAAGUUUUCAAGAUGCCUUUUUGGUAAGAAUAAAGUUUUCUGUUGAUGUGAGACUGUGUUAGUC